rnacentral:rRNA from 1 species
AACGAACGCUGGCGGCAUGCCUAACACAUGCAAGUCGAACGAGACCUUCGGGUCUAGUGGCGCACGGGUGCGUAACGCGUGGGAACCUGCCCUUAGGUUCGGAAUAACUCCCCGAAAGGGGUGCUAAUACCGGAUAAUGUCUUCGGACCAAAUAUUUAUCGCCUUUGGAUGGGCCCGCGUUGGAUUAGCUAGUUGGUAGGGUAAAAGCCUACCAAGGCGACGAUCCAUAGCUGGUCUGAGAGGAUGAUCAGCCACACUGGGACUGAGACACGGCCCAGACUCCUACGGGAGGCAGCAGUGGGGAAUAUUGGACAAUGGGCGAAAGCCUGAUCCAGCAAUGCCGCGUGAGUGAUGAAGGCAUUAGGGUUGUAAAGCUCUUUUACCCGGGAUGAUAAUGACAGUACCGGGAGAAUAAGCUCCGGCUAACUCCGUG